rnacentral:rRNA from 1 species
AAACAGGAUUUAGUUGUAAAAAAUAGGCAUUUAUUUUUUGAAUUAAUAUUUACAAGAGGCACACAUCGCCCGUCACUCUCAGGCUUGUUUAUGUUUUUGAGAAAAGUCGUAACAAAGUAGGGGUACUGGAAGGUGCACCUUUAGCUUAAUUUUAAUUUAAUCAAAAUUAUUUUUAAUUUGUCAGCUGAAAAUUAUUUUGUUUUGUGUACUAUUUUUGAUGGGGGAUAAUUGGUUUACUGUGAGGGUGCUUUAUUGUACAGCGUAAAUAUUAAUGGGGUUCUACCUUUUGUAUCAGGGAUUGUCAAAAUAUUGUAUAUUGAUUUUAUAUUUCCCGAAGCUAGUGCGAUAUAGGGUUUUAUAAGGAAAUGUUGAAAAAUUUUGGUUAUAAUAUCUUAGGGGUGAAAUGCUAGGCGCGUCUAGGGUUAUCUGGUUAAUUAGGGUAAAAUUUAAUUUUAAAUUCUUUGGGGUCUUAUUAUAGUUUUUGGUUUUAAGGGGGGAUUUUAUAUUAUUGGGGUAAUCUCUUUAUUUUUGUUUGAUUUUUAAAAAAAAUUUGUAGGCUUAGAAUUAGCUUUCUUAUUAAACUAGGUUAUACUAUGUUUUUGUGAUUUUUAUGUUAUACUUGUUAUUUCUUUUGAAUUUUUUAUGGGGUUUAUAAUGAUGUUAUUAGUAGGUUUAUUAAAAAAUACAAAAAAUUGGCAAAAUUUGUUCUCCCCCGUUUAACAAAAACAUGGGUUAUGGGGUGUGAAUAUUAAAAAAUGGGCCCGCGCCGUGUAUUUAUAACCCCCCCGGGAACCUGACUGUGCAAAAGGAACAAAAACCAUAUUUUUUUAAAUGGGGGCCGGAAAGAAAAGGGUGAGGGGGAGUGGGUUUUUUUGUUUAUUUUAAGAAAUUUAUUUUAUAGAGGAAACACUAUAUUGGUUUUUAAUGAAGAAAAAACCCCCCAAAGCUUUAAAAAUAAUAAAGAGAUUUUUAUUUAUUUUGUUUUUUGGGGGGGCCACAGGUACGAGGUGAUAAUGAUUAUUUUAGAGGUUUGGAUUUUUAGUCGGAGUUUGAUCCAAUAUUUUUGACAUUGAGACAAGCUACUUUGGGGAUAACAGCGUAAUUAGGCCUGAGAGUUCUUAUUGAUGGCAUAGUUUGCGACCUCGAUGUUGAAUUAAGAUACCAUUUUAUUGUAGCUGGUAAUUUUGGGGGUCUGUUCGACCUUAAAAUUCUUACAUGAUUUGGGUUUAGAUCGGCGUAAGCCAGGUCGGUUUCUAUUUUUUAUUUGUUUGUUUUUUUUUUAGUACGAAAGGAAAAAUUGGUUUUAAUUUUUAGUUUUUAAUUGUUAUAAGUUAAAAUUAUAUUUAUUUUAAGUUUGGCAGAGAUUGCUAG